CUGCUCCCUCCCCCGCUGAGCCCGGCUGGUCGCUGCGCUCUCGGUUCCCGCGGGCUUUCCUGGCGACGGCCUCCCCCCUUCUGUCCUGGGGUCUUGCUCCUCUCCCUCUUCUUUUCUYCACGUCUCUCCUCUCCCUCUUCGUUUCUUUACGCCUCUCCCCCUCCUGCUUUCCGCCUGUUCCGGGAGCCGAGCCCGGUCGCCUGGCUGCGCCGUGCAGCCGAGCGAGGCCCCCAGGUCCCUGUGGAACUGCGCUCCCCCUGCCUCCAACUCCCUCCAUCAUCCGACGUGUUCUUUUCUUCACUGCUCAUUUCUUUCUUCCCUGAAAUAGGAGGCAGCUAGUCCCUUCUCCAUUCUCCUUGUUUUCAGUCUGUACUGUUUCUCCCUUUCGCCACCCCACCCCACUCCUUGGUUUCCCCCUUGUCCCCGCCCUCCCACCUUCUCCCUAAAMUCAGCCCGAUGGAACAGUGAGAGGGCGAAGAUAAAAAUGGCAAAUGUCAGUGUCAACACUGUUAUUGUUUUUGGUUGCUGAAACGGAAGAUGAACUGGAAUGCCCAAAUCAACUCAGACCCAGGACCAAGAUUGAGUUCUUAAAAUUGCAAUGGAAGAUCUUAAAUGUGAUCCCAGGUAAGACUCCAGAUGGCAGCUYAUUAAAACAUCCAGAAGGCGGAACAGGCACGUAUACCUUUCCAUCUACCACGGGCGAUUUCACAAACCUCCCAGCUCUGACCUACUAGGCCCAGCCUUCUGGGACCCUUGUUGCCUUUCCAGUCUCACUCAUUACAUUCCAAGCACACUGAAGACCUUUCUGCCCAAACAUUUUGUGCCACAGGGCCUUUGUAUUUGUUAUUUCUUUGCCCUUCGGACCACCCAUGUGACUCAGCUCAUGUGUCAACUCAGGGAGGCAUUUCUUUCUUUUGCUUCUGUACUGGGUAUUGAGCCCAGGGGUGCUCUACCACUGAAUUACAUCCCUGCCCCCUUUUAAACUUUUAUUUUGUGGCAGGGUCUCAUUAUGUUGCUCAGGCUGGCUUCAAACUUCC
rnacentral:lncRNA from 1 species